CCUACGGGUGGCAGCAGUGAGGAAUAUUGGUCAAUGGACGCAAGUCUGAACCAGCCAUGCCGCGUGCAGGAAGACGGCUCUAUGAGUUGUAAACUGCUUUUGUACGAGGGUAAACGCAGAUACGCGUAGCUGUCUGAAAGUAUCGUACGAAUAAGGAGCGGCUAACUCCGUGACAGCAGCCGCGGUAAUACGGAGGAUUCAAGCGUUAUCCGGAUUUAUUGGGUUUCAUGGGUGCGUAGGCGGUCGGAUAAGUUAGAGGUGAAAUCCCGAGGCUCAACUUCGGAAUUGCCUCUGAUACGGUUCUUCUAGAGUGUAUUUGCGGUAGGCGGAAUGUCUGGUGUAGCGGUUAACUGCUU
rnacentral:rRNA from 1 species